AAGCAGGGUCCUUGCAGAUGUGAUCAACUAAGAUGAGGUCACACUGGAGUAGGGUGGACCUAAUCCAAUACUGGUGUCCUUAUAAGAAGGGGAAACUUGGAUUCAGGCAAGCACACAGGGAGAAUGCCAUGUGAGUGUGAAGGCAGGGAUCAGGGCAAUGUGACUAUAAACCAAGCAACGCCAAAGACGGACAGAAAACCCCCAGAAACCAGAAGAGAGGCCUGGAACAGAGCUGAGCUCACAGCCCUCAGAAGGAAUCAGCCCUGGAGACAGUGUGACUUCUGGCCUUCGGAGCAGUGAGACAACACAUUUCUGUUGUUCAAGCUGUUUAUGCCACUUAGUCUGUGGUAUGUUGUUAUGGCAGCCCUAGGAACGAAUACAAUAGGGCACAGUUUUUCUCCGGUUACAUUAAGAUUGGACACCAUAGCCAACUACAGUUUUCUCAAGUGUAAUCAAAUCUCGAUGGCAUCUAUCCCUGAGACAAGAAUCUUAUCUACCAGCCUGUGCUGAACAGCAAAUUUGCAUGGAGCUCAUGAAUAAUAAAGGCAUCCCUGCCAUGAACAUUGUUGUCAGUACCUUCCAGAAGCCACAGCUUCCCCUCCUCAGCCCUCUGGGAACAGAAAGGUGCACUACAAUCCACUGAAGAGGCCACGGAGAGGCCACGAAUCAUCCUCAGCUGGAGGCCACGGUCAAGGGUGGGUUGCUCUGCCCUCUCCUCCAUCCCCCAAAGAGAAAAAAACAGUUAAUAGAAGGGUGUCUUUUUCCCUUAUGAACAUCCACUUUACUCAAGCCCAACUCAGAACAAAGUCUAGAAAUUGUCUCUCUGGAUAUACAGGCAUGACACUUCAAAUCAGUUAAAUGAUACUAACAAGAGUCUGUUGGAAUUCCAAGAAACUCAGGACCCAGCAUGUUCAUUGCACAGAAUGCAACUCAUCCAUUCUUCCUCUAGUCUGAGAAACAUUUCCAGACAUUGUUCCUAUUUUAUCUAGCUUUUUUUUCCCCCCCAAUUAAAUGGGCCUCUGCCUUGAACUUGA